rnacentral:rRNA from 1 species
CCUACGGGAGGCAGCAGUGGGGAAUAUUGCACAAUGGGGGAAACCCUGAUGCAGCGACGCCGCGUGAGUGAAGAAGUAAUUAGUUACGAAAAGCUCUAUCAGCAGGGAAGAAAAUGACGGUACCUGAGUAAGAAGCCUCGGCUAACUACGUGCCAGCAGCCGCGGUAAUGCGUAGGGGGCAAGCGUUAUCCGGAUGUACUGGGUGUAAAGGGAGUGUAGACGGUGCGCCAAGUGUGGAGUGAAAUGCCGCAGCUUAACUGCGGAACUGCUUUGGAAACUGUGGAACUAGAGAGGGGGAGGGGUAAGCGGAAUUCGUGGUGUAGCGGUGAAAUGCAUAGAUAUUGGGAGGAACACCGGUGGCGAAGGCGGCUUACUGGACCGGGACUGACGUUGAGGCUCGAAAGCGUGGGGAUCGAACAGGAUUAGAUACCCCUGUAGUC